rnacentral:rRNA from 1 species
UACGGAGGAUCCGAGCGUUAUCCGGAUUUAUUGGGUUUAGAGGGUGCGUAGGCGGCCUAUUAAGUCAGGGGUGAAAGACGGUAGCUUAACUAUCGCAGUGCCUUUGAUACUGAUAGGCUUGAAUGUACUUGAGGUAGGCGGAAUGUGACAAGUAGCGGUGAAAUGCAUAGAUAUGUCACAGAACACCAAUUGCGAAGGCAGCUUACUAAAGUAUGAUUGACGCUGAGGCACGAAAGCGUGGGGAUCAAACAGG